UAAAGCGUGCGCAGGCGGUUAUGCAAGACAGAGGUGAAAUCCCGGGCUCAACCUGGGAACUGCCUUUGUGACUGCAUAGCUAGAGUACGGUAGAGGGGGAUGGAAUUCCGCGUGUAGCAGUGAAAUGCGUAGAUAUGCGGAGGAACACCGAUGGCGAAGGCAAUCCCCUGGACCUGUACUGACGCUCAUGCACGAAAGCGUGGGGAGCAAACAGGAUUAGAUACCCCAGU
rnacentral:rRNA from 1 species